ACGGCUCAGUAACACGUGGACAAUCUAACCUACGGAAGAGGAUAACCCCGGGAAACUGGGGAUAAUACUCUAUAGACUAUGGAGGCUGGAAUGCACUGUAGUCCAAAGGUCCGCCGCCGUAGGAUGGGUCUGCGGCCGAUUAGGUAGUUGUUGGGGUAACGGCCCAACAAGCCUGUAAUCGGUACGGGUUGUGGGAGCAAGAGCCCGGAGAUGGAUUCUGAGACACGAAUCCAGGCCCUACGGGGCGCAGCAGGCGCGAAAACUUUACAAUGCGGGAAACCGUGAUAAGGGAACUCCGAGUGCCCGUUAAAUCGGGCUGUCCACCAGUUUAAAAAACUGGUGAAGAAAGGGCCGGGCAAGACCGGUGCCAGCCGCCGCGGUAAUACCGGCGGCUCGAGUGGUGGCCACUAUUACUGGGCUUAAAGCGUUCGUAGCUGGUUUGUUAAGUCUCUGGGGAAAUCUUCCGGCUUAACCGGAAGGCGUCUCAGGGAUACUGGCAGACUAGGGACCGGAAGAGGUGAGGGGUACUUCAGGGGUAGGAGUGAAAUCCUGUAAUCCUUGAGGGACCACCUGUGGCGAAGGCGCCUCACCAGGACGGCUCCGACAGUGAGGGACGAAAGCUGGGGGAGCAAACCGGAUUAGAUACCCGGGUAGUCCCAGCCGUAAACGAUGUGCGUUAGGUGUAUCGGUGACCACGAGUCACCGAGGUGCCGAAGAGAAAUCGUGAAACGUACCGCCUGGGAAGUACGGUCGCAAGGCUGAAACUUAAAGGAAUUGGCGGGGGAGCAC
rnacentral:rRNA from 1 species